rnacentral:misc_RNA from 1 species
ACAUUUCUCAUUGUGAAUAUUUAAGUAUAUUGGUGGACCAUGGACUUCAUUGACUUCCAGUCUUCCACAGUUAACACUAGUUGAAAAACAUUUCUCAAUCGAGAAAAUGCAGAAAGGGAAUAGGCAUAUUGUGUUCUACACGAAGUUACAAGAGACUGACACCUGAGCUCAUAUUCACCUAUCAAUGAAAUAAGCUCUAUAUUAGGUAUAGAGUUUGCUGGAAAAACAUGUAUAAGCUUAGGUUUAAUCCAAGAGAUCCAAGCUAGAGCAGGCUGUUCAUAGUCAAACGAAAAGACCUAUUUGCUGAUAUGAAACUUAUAGAAUUGACUUUGGUAGUAGGCUGCUUCCUUGGGCAGCUUCUAUUUAGAGAACAAGACCAGAUUUCAUGCUUUGCUGACCUAUUGAAUUCACUAUCUUUAAUUUAAUUAUACACACAAGAAAUGAAUGCACAUGCUCACAUUUGCAUAUAUAUCAUGGGCAGAAAUACCUUGCUAUGUUAAGUACGCUCAAA